GUUGGGGAGUUUUUGAGUGCAAUUGGUAGGCUGCAAGCUGAGCAACAGAGGCAAAUUCAGGACUUCCAGGUAGAUGUGUUGGAAAGAGCCAAAAAAGCCAAGAAAAAUGCAGCAAAGGAAGCCUUGGAGGCACAAGGACUAGUUCCCAAUGCUACUGCAGUUGAUCCAAAAUUGGCUACUUAUGGAUUUAACUCCAAAACUUCAUCAUUAACCUCCAAAGCUGUCACUCCUGCAAAUUCACCCUCAUCUUCAAAUUCAACUGUUGUCCCUACUGCUGAGACGGGUCUAGAUCCUGCUGCUAAGGGCCCUGCUUAUGGGGUGAUAGAUGAUGACUGAAGUUGUAGCUUUAAAUUCUACAUACCCUAUAUUUUCCAUCAGAUAAAUUUAAGGCAUGGCAUCCCCUAAAGAUUUAUAGUUAAUAAAAGUCUCGGUUCAUAUGAGAUUGCGAAGAUACAUAUAACUUCGUUCUCUCGGUCUCUCAUAUGAACCGAGACU
rnacentral:misc_RNA from 1 species